rnacentral:rRNA from 1 species
AGAGUUUGAUCAUGGCUCAGAUUGAACGCUGGCGGCAGGCCUAACACAUGCAAGUCGAACGGUAACAGGAAGCAGCUUGCUGCUUCGCUGACGAGUGGCGGACGGGUGAGUAAUGUCUGGGAAGCUGCCUGAUGGAGGGGGAUAACUACUGGAAACGGUAGCUAAUACCGCAUAAUAUCGCAAGACCAAAGAGGGGGACCUUCGGGCCUCUUGCCAUCGGAUGUGCCCAGAUGGGAUUAGCUUGUUGGUGGGGUAACGGCUCACCAAGGCGACGAUCCCUAGCUGGUCUGAGAGGAUGACCAGCCACACUGGAACUGAGACACGGUCCAGACUCCUACGGGAGGCAGCAGUGGGGAAUAUUGCACAAUGGGCGCAAGCCUGAUGCAGCCAUGCCGCGUGUAUGAAGAAGGCCUUCGGGUUGUAAAGUACUUUCAGCGGGGAGGAAGGGAGUAAAGUUAAUACCUUUGCUCAUUGACGUUACCCGCAGAAGAAGCACCGGCUAACUCCGUGCCAGCAGCCGCGGUAAUACGGAGGGUGCAAGCGUUAAUCGGAAUUACUGGGCGUAAAGCGCACGCAGGCGGUUUGUUAAGUCAGAUGUGAAAUCCCCGGGCUCAACCUGGGAACUGCAUCUGAUACUGGCAAGCUUGAGUCUCGUAGAGGGGGGUAGAAUUCCAGGUGUAGCGGUGAAAUGCGUAGAGAUCUGGAGGAAUACCGGUGGCGAAGGCGGCCCCCUGGACGAAGACUGACGCUCAGGUGCGAAAGCGUGGGGAGCAAACAGGAUUAGAUACCCUGGUAGUCCACGCCGUAAACGAUGUCGACUUGGAGGUUGUGCCCUUGAGGCGUGGCUUCCGGAGCUAACGCGUUAAGUCGACCGCCUGGGGAGUACGGCCGCAAGGUUAAAACUCAAAUGAAUUGACGGGGGCCCGCACAAGCGGUGGAGCAUGUGGUUUAAUUCGAUGCAACGCGAAGAACCUUACCUGGUCUUGACAUCCACGGAAGUUUUCAGAGAUGAGAAUGUGCCUUCGGGAACCGUGAGACAGGUGCUGCAUGGCUGUCGUCAGCUCGUGUUGUGAAAUGUUGGGUUAAGUCCCGCAACGAGCGCAACCCUUAUCCUUUGUUGCCAGCGGUCCGGCCGGGAACUCAAAGGAGACUGCCAGUGAUAAACUGGAGGAAGGUGGGGAUGACGUCAAGUCAUCAUGGCCCUUACGACCAGGGCUACACACGUGCUACAAUGGCGCAUACAAAGAGAAGCGACCUCGCGAGAGCAAGCGGACCUCAUAAAGUGCGUCGUAGUCCGGAUUGGAGUCUGCAACUCGACUCCAUGAAGUCGGAAUCGCUAGUAAUCGUGGAUCAGAAUGCCACGGUGAAUACGUUCCCGGGCCUUGUACACACCGCCCGUCACACCAUGGGAGUGGGUUGCAAAAGAAGUAGGUAGCUUAACCUUCGGGAGGGCGCUUACCACUUUGUGAUUCAUGACUGGGGUGAAGUCGUAACAAGGUA